AUGAACGCUAGCUACAGGCUUAACACAUGCAAGUCGAGGGGAAACGAUAUUGGAAGCUUGCUUCCGAUAGGCGUCGACCGGCGCACGGGUGAGUAACGCGUAUCCAACCUGCCCAUCACUUGGGGAUAACCUUGCGAAAGUAAGACUAAUACCCAAUGACGUCUCUAGAAGACAUCUGAAAGGGAUUAAAGAUUUAUCGGUGAUGGAUGGGGAUGCGUCUGAUUAGCUUGUUGGCGGGGUAACGGCCCACCAAGGCGACGAUCAGUAGGGGUUCUGAGAGGAAGGUCCCCCACAUUGGAACUGAGACACGGUCCAAACUCCUACGGGAGGCAGCAGUGAGGAAUAUUGGUCAAUGGGCGAGAGCCUGAACCAGCCAAGUAGCGUGCAGGAAGACGGCCCUAUGGGUUGUAAACUGCUUUUAUAAGGGAAUAAAGUGAGUCUCGUGAGACUUUUUGCAUGUACCUUAUGAAUAAGGACCGGCUAAUUCCGUGCCAGCAGCCGCGGUAAUACGGAAGGUUCGGGCGUUAUCCGGAUUUAUUGGGUUUAAAGGGAGCGUAGGCCGGAGAUUAAGCGUGUUGUGAAAUGUAGACGCUCAACGUCUGCACUGCAGCGCGAACUGGUUUCCUUGAGUACGCACAAAGUGGGCGGAAUUCGUGGUGUAGCGGUGAAAUGCUUAGAUAUCACGAAGAACUCCGAUUGCGAAGGCAGCUCACUGGAGCGCAACUGACGCUGAAGCUCGAAAGUGCGGGUAUCGAACAGGAUUAGAUACCCUGGUAGUCCGCACGGUAAACGAUGGAUGCCCGCUGUUGGUCUGAAUAGGUCAGCGGCCAAGCGAAAGCAUUAAGCAUCCCACCUGGGGAGUACGCCGGCAACGGUGAAACUCAAAGGAAUUGACGGGGGCCCGCACAAGCGGUGGAGCAUGUGGUUUAAUUCGAAGCAACGCGAAGAACCUUACCAGGUCUUGACAUCGAUCUAAAAGGGAUGGAGACAUCCUCAUAGCUAUAGAGAAGACAGGUGGUGCAUGGUUGUCGUCAGCUCGUGUCGUGAGAUGUUGGGUUAAGUCCCGCAACGAGCGCAACCCCUAUCCUCAGUAGCCAGCAUUUAAGAUGGGCACUCUGGGGAGACUGCCAGGGAUAACCUGGAGGAAGGUGGGGAUGACGUCAAAUCAGCACGGCCCUUACGUCCGGGGCUACACACGUGUUACAAUGGCAGGUACAGAGAGACGGUCCUUUGCAAAACGGAUCAAAUCCUUAAAGCCUGUCUCAGUUCGGACUGGGGUCUGCAACCCGACCCCACGAAGCUGGAUUCGCUAGUAAUCGCGCAUCAGCCAUGGCGCGGUGAAUACGUUCCCGGGCCUUGUACACACCGCCCGUCAAGCCAUGAAAGCCGGGGGCGCCUAAAGUCCGUGACCGUAAGGAGCGGCCUAGGGCGAAACUGGUAAUUGGGGCU
rnacentral:rRNA from 1 species